AUACGGGAGGCAGCAGUGGGGAAUUUUGGACAAUGGGGGAAACCCUGAUCCAGCAAUGCCGCGUGAGUGAAGAAGGCCUUCGGGUUGUAAAGCUCUUUUGUCGGGGAAGAAAAACCGAAUACUAAUACUGUUUGGUGAUGACGGUACCCGAAGAAUAAGCACCGGCUAACUACGUGCCAGCAGCCGCGGUAAUACGUAGGGUGCGAGCGUUAAUCGGAAUUACUGGGCGUAAAGCGUGCGCAGGCGGUUUGGUAAGACAAAUGUGAAAUCCCCGGGCUUAACCUGGGGAUGGCAUAUGUGACUGCCCGGCUAGAGUAUGUCAGAGGGGGGUAGAAUUCCACGUGCAGCAGUGAAAUGCGUAGAGAUGUGGAGGAAUACCGAUGGCGAAGGCAGCCCCCUGGGAUAACACUGACGCUCAUGCACGAAAGUGUGGGGAGCAAACAGGAUUAGAUACCCCUGUAGUCCC
rnacentral:rRNA from 1 species